rnacentral:rRNA from 1 species
UGGGGAAUAUUGGACAAUGGGGGCAACCCUGAUCCAGCCAUGCCGCGUGAGUGAUGAAGGCCCUAGGGUUGUAAAGCUCUUUCGGCGGGGACGAUAAUGACGGUACCCGCAGAAGAAGCCCCGGCUAACUUCGUGCCAGCAGCCGCGGUAAUACGAAGGGGGCUAGCGUUGCUCGGAAUCACUGGGCGUAAAGCGCACGUAGGCGGAUCUUUAAGUCAGGGUGAAAUCCCAAGGCUCAACCUUGGAACUGCCUUUGAUACUGGGGAUCUCGAGUCCGGAAGAGGUGAGUGGAACUGCGAGUGUAGAGGUGAAAUUCGUAGAUAUUCGCAAGAACACCAGUGGCGAAGGCGGCUCACUGGUCCGGAACUGACGCUGAGGUGCGAAAGCGUGGGGAGCAAACAGGAUUAGAUACCC